rnacentral:rRNA from 1 species
UGACCUCGGAUCAGUAGGGAUACC